AUAGAACUCACGGGACCAAUCUCACAGGACAGAAUUAUUCAGAUCCUGGUAGGUACUAACCAGUAAGCGAAACUUGAAAUUCCGCAUCUUUUUUUUCCCCACAAUUUCGCCAAAGAAUCUGCAAUCAAUCAAUCGCCAAGCGAGAAAAUCUGUACAAUUAUCGUAAUUAUACACUCGAUCAAUCCAAUUUCUAUCGUAUAAAAAAAAUGCCUUACUGGAGAGUCAUGGAGGUGGAGCCACCAAGUCCGUUAAGAUACCUAAUCGGCGCAGCAUUAAUGAUGAUUGGAGUGGUGUUACCCGUUGGUUACAUGAUGUUUCGUAACAAGCGGGGUCCUUCUUCUUCCUCUUACUCCAAACAGACGUAGGGCAAAGUUUUGAUAGAGUGGUAGUGAUUGAAAGAGAGAGGGAGAUCUGGUGCUGGAUGAGUUGAAGAGUUUGAAGAAGAUGCAAGAAAAAGAUGAGCAUGGGUUAUGCCAGUGAUUGGUGAGUUACCUGAUGGUUGGAUUUACUGGAUUAGCAUGGAAUAAUAAACUUUGUUCUGCUGGUUCAUGCUCUCUGUAUCAGUCUGAGCUAUGAAACGACCUGUUAGAAUGACAAAAUUUGCUGUUUUCGAGUGGGAAUGUAGAAAAGAGCGGAAAAUAUAUAUGGUUGAAAUGUGUUGCCUAUUUGCUAGGAGCUACCGUGGAAACAGCUACCAUUUGGAAUUGAAAUGCUUGGUGGUGAAGACAAUGCAGGAUGCACAAGGAUCAGAAACGUCUUAGAUUCUUACAGAAUGAUUUUUCAUGGCUCAGUCUCACAGAUGUGUUGUGGUUCCACUCAGAGAAAAAGCAUAAUACAUGAGGGUGAUGAGAUCAAAGUGGUGUUAACAAGAUUGAUCAGAGCCGAUAAUCUUUGCUGCUCUACCCUCAUGAAUGGAGGCUUCUUAUGCAUUUACUCAGUGUUAUCAUCUAUAGAAACCAUCUAUCUCCUCUCAGGAACAAGCUGCCAGGAUGUUGAUUUUUUUUUUCCAGAUUUCCAUGAUGUUGGUAUGGUUCUAACUUCUAAGAUCUGGUACAAUAUAUUUGAGAACUUGACUCGGGAGUGGAUCAAUUUUAUGGAACUCCGACUAUGUGUUUAUACUCCA